UCCUUCGCCAUCCAAGGGGCCCUGCUGCGCCAAGGUUGCGAUAAGCACCUCGUAACCCUAAAUAUAGGCCAGCACACGCCAGAUUUGGCGGCACCCCUGACAGGAGGUCUUUCUAGGGCAGUCUUCCCUCCUCCACCAAAAAGAAGCCCCGGUGCAGGUGCCUCAAGGGUGGAUUCCCAAGGGGGACAGCUCUGUCGAGGGCCGGUGGGGCUUCCAGCUCGCAUCUGCACGGCUGGAAGUGUGGUCCGCCCACAUCCCCCACCAAUUCCGGACAGGCGCUGGAAGGAGUGCUGCUUUUG
rnacentral:telomerase_RNA from 1 species